UACGAAGGGGGCUAGCGUUGCUCGGAAUCACUGGGCGUAAAGCGCACGUAGGCGGAUUGUUAAGUCAGGGGUGAAAUCCUGGAGCUCAACUCCAGAACUGCCUUUGAUACUGGCGAUCUUGAGUCCGGGAGAGGUGAGUGGAACUGCGAGUGUAGAGGUGAAAUUCGUAGAUAUUCGCAAGAACACCGGUGGCGAAGGCGGCUCACUGGCUCGUAUCUGACGCUCAGGCGCGACAGCGUGGGGAUCAAACAGG
rnacentral:rRNA from 1 species